rnacentral:rRNA from 1 species
CCUACGGGAGGCAGCAGUGAGGAAUAUUGGUCAAUGGACGCAAGUCUGAACCAGCCAUGCCGCGUGCAGGAAGACGGCUCUAUGAGUUGUAAACUGCUUUUGUACGGGGGUAAACGCAGAUACGCGUAUCUGUCUGAAAGUAUCGUACGAAUAAGGAUCGGCUAACUCCGUGCCAGCAGCCGCGGUAAUACGGAGGAUUCAAGCGUUAACCGGAUUUAUUGGGUUUAAAGGGUGCGUAGGCGGUCGGAUAAGUUAGAGGUGAAAGCCCGAGGCUCAACUUCGGAAUUGCCUCUGAUACUGUCCGGCUAGAGAGUAGGUGAGGUAGGCGGAAUGUAUGGUGUAGCGGUGAAAUGCUUAGAGAUCAUACAGAACACCGAUUGCGAAGGCAGCUUACUAAGCCACAUCUGACGUUGAGGCACGAAAGCGUGGGGAGCAAACAGGAUUAGAUACCCGGGUAGUC